GCUUUCUUAGCUUAGUUGGUAGAGCACCCGCUUAGUAAGCGGGAGGUCGUCGGUUCAACCUCGGCAGACGGCU
rnacentral:tRNA from 1 species